rnacentral:rRNA from 1 species
CGCUAGCGACAGGCUUAACACAUGCAAGUCGAGGGGCAGCACGGGAGUAGCAAUACAACUGGUGGCGACCGGCGCACGGGUGAGUAACGCGUAUGCAACCUACCUAUCAGAGGGGAAUAACCCGGCGAAAGUCGGACUAAUACCGCAUAAAACAGGGGCACCGCAUGGUGAUAUUUGUUAAAGAAAUUCGCUGAUAGAUGGGCAUGCGUUCCAUUAGGUAGUUGGUGAGGUAACGGCUCACCAAGCCGACGAUGGAUAGGGGAACUGAGAGGUUGGUCCCCCACACUGGUACUGAGACACGGACCAGACUCCUACGGGAGGCAGCAGUGAGGAAUAUUGGUCAAUGGGCGAGAGCCUGAACCAGCCAAGUCGCGUGAAGGAAGAAGGAUCUAUGGUUCGUAAACUUCUUUUGCAGGGGAAUAAAGUGCGGGACGUGUCCUGUUUUGUAUGUACCCUGAGAAUAAGGAUCGGCUAACUCCGUGCCAGCAGCCGC